CAGCCGCGGUAAUCCAGCUCCAAUAGCGUAUAUUUAAGUUGUUGCAGUUAAAAAGCUCGUAGUUGAAUUUCGGGACUAAUAUGUCGGUCGUGCCUCGGUACGUACUGGCUUAUUGGUUUCUCCUUUCUGAAGAACCAUGAUGUCAUUUAUUUGGUGUCGUGGGGAAUCAGGACUGUUACUUUGAAAAAAUUAGAGUGUUUAAAGCAGGCUCACGCUUGAAUACAUUAGCAUGGAAUAAUGAAAUAGGACGUUUGAUUCUAUUUUGUUGGUUUCUAGGAUCGACGUAAUGAUUAAUAGGGAUAGUUGGGGGCAUUAGUAUUCAAUUGUCAGAGGUGAAAUUCUUGGAUUUAUUGAAGACUAACUACUGCGAAAGCAUUUGCCAAGGAUGUUUUCAUUAAUCAAGAACGAAAGUUAGGGGAUCGAAGACGAUCAGAUACCGUCGUAGUCUUAACCAUAAACUAUGCCGACUAGGGAUCGGAUGAUGUUAAUUUUUUAAUGACUCAUUCGGCGCCUUACG
rnacentral:misc_RNA from 1 species